rnacentral:misc_RNA from 1 species
AUUUGUAAUUUUUCAAAUUGCAAGUUAUCUGAUUAACCUAUUAAACGUAAAAUAACAAAAUCGAAAUCUAUAACCUACAACUUGUAACAUGGCAUCAUGAAAUAUUACUAGUUGGUAAAUUAUUUUACAAGAAAGUCCAGGUGCUGGAAAUAGUAUCCCCAGUUGAAAAGAAGAGGAAACUUACAAGUAGUUUCUGUCGAGACUUGGCUGAAAACAACAAUACGAUAACUGGUUUUAAGAGAGUGAAAAGAGCGAUGAAGUAUUGAGGGG